ACGCUCGACACCUACGGGGGCAGCAGUGGGGAAUAUUGCACAAUGGGGGAAACCCUGAUGCAGCGAUGCCGCGUGAAGGAAGAAGUAUCUCGGUAUGUAAACUUCUAUCAGCAGGGAAGAAAAUGACGGUACCUGACUAAGAAGCCCCGGCUAACUACGUGUCAGCAGCCGCGGUAAUCUGAGCGGGCUGGCAAGGC
rnacentral:rRNA from 1 species